rnacentral:lncRNA from 1 species
UUCUGUCAGCACUAUACCGAAAUUCAGUCAGAAGUACGGUUAUUUUGAGGUAAGGGAUGUUGUUUCUUCUUAAAUGAUAUUAUCUUCUUCAAUAUCAUUAUGCCGAAAUAUUGUUCUGAACUUUUUAUCAAUUUGGAACUUUUUCAUGUCAGAGUUACUAUUCAUGAGUUACUAUUCAUGAGUUACUAUUCACGAGUUACUAUUCACGAGUACUAUU